rnacentral:rRNA from 1 species
AUACGGAGGAUGCGAGCGUUAUCCGGAUUUAUUGGGUUUAAAGGGUGCGCAGGCGGGCGAUUAAGUCAGCGGUGAAAGGCUCGGGCUCAACCGGAGCAGUGCCGUUGAUACUGGUUGUCUUGAAUGCGGUCAAGGCCGGCGGAAUGUGGCGUGUAGCGGUGAAAUGCAUAGAUAUGCCACAGAACACCGAUAGCGAAGGCAGCUGGCCGGGCCUGCAUUGACGCUCAGGCACGAAAGCGUGGGGAUCGAACAGGAUUAGAUACCCUGGUAGUCCACGCUGUAAACGAUGGACACUCGUUGUCGGCGACAGACAGUCGGCGGCCAAGCGAAAGUGAUAAGUGUCCCACCUGGGGAGUACGGUCGCAAGGCUGAAACUCAAAUGAAUUGACGGGG